UACGAAGGGGGCUAGCGUUGUUCGGAAUUACUGGGCGUAAAGCGCACGUAGGCGGAUUGUUAAGUCGGGGGUGAAAUCCUGGAGCUCAACUCCAGAACUGCCUUCGAUACUGGCGAUCUUGAGUCCGGAAGAGGUGAGUGGAACUCCUAGUGUAGAGGUGAAAUUCGUAGAUAUUCGCAAGAACACCAGUGGCGAAGGCGGCUCACUGGCCCGGUACUGGACACUGAGGUGCGAAAGCGUGGGGAGCGAACA
rnacentral:rRNA from 1 species